UAGCUUAAUGGUAGAGUGCUUGCCUAACAUGCAUGAAGCCCUGGGUUCAAUUCCUUG
rnacentral:tRNA from 1 species